GUUUUCUGUGUAUUAAAUCAUUUUUUAUAUUUUUUAUUAUAUAUGGAUUAAGGAGCUCUUAUUAAGAAUACUCUAUAAGUGGUGCUCUGAGCUCAAUAUUGAGUUACAUUAGGAUAUACAGAAAAUUUCAUUAUUCCCUUAUUAAUGAUGCUAGAUUUGAUUAAUGAUAAAGUGACAGUGUGACUUUUUUGUAAAGCUCAUAUUAGCUGCACCUGAUUCUGGACAUGGUUAUCUGCUUCUUAUAAAAGCCAAGUUUGUUUAUUAAUGUGACAGCUUUUAUUUUGAGCAACUUAUUUUGCUCUCUCUAGUCCACUCCCCCUGAGAAGGGCUAACAAUGUUAGCUGUUUCCUAGAUAUACUCACAAGGCAAGGAAAGUACAUAUGGACCAAGAGCUUGAGAGUGCAUGAGGCUUUUCAAUGGCCAUGUGGCUUCUUUGUGGUGCGUGUCCCCCAAUGAACACUGAGAUGACUAUGGCUCUCACUGUCUCAUACUUCUUACCUUUUAUCCCUUCAUUUUUAUUUUGGAAAAAUGCACAUAACCAUUUUUAAGUGUACAAUUUAGUGUUACUAAAUACAUUUUUAAUGUUUUGCAACCAACACCACCAUCUAUCUCCUUAACACUGUCCAUCUUAUAAAAUUUCCUUUCAGAAAUUUGGUGAGGACGCAAUAUUAUGAAGGAGAGAGUGAUCAAUAUUGUGACAUGCAAGAGAAGUCACGAAAAAGAGUGAGAAGAAUAAAGGAUCAUUUCAUACUCAGUUAUGAGAAUAGGUGUCCCAUUAAGACAUUGAGAAGACAGCAAGUAGACAUGAAAUGGUAUUUAUGGAUGUGGGGCAAGGAAGGUAGAAAUCAUGGUCCCCAGGAGGAGAGGCUGGGGCCCAGUCACAUCACUCUACCUGGCAAAUAUUUGAGGAUAUGUCAAUAUAUAUUGAUGGAAUAUAUCAGUAUACACAAACUUAUGGAAUGAAUAAAUGACUAUUGGUUAACUGAUUUGGAAAUGUGGCUGUUGAAGCACUCAGGAGGAUACAUACUCAUAGGAGGUUAAUGCUCCCAGAAAAUUAGGGGUGGGAAUGAGAUUGGUUUCCUUCUUUGGAUGUAAAUAUCAAUCUACAAUUCUACAAUCUUACAAUCUAGUUCACUUGAGUGCUGGUUGUUUUUAUGACUUUCCUCUGACUUUCACUUAAACUUUUUUUUCCCUGAGAAUUUGUAUUACACAUACAAUAGUUUCAGGUGCAUGAGUAAACAAAACUAAAUUUGUUGUCUCUGUUUCAGAAUCAAAGAGAGGUAUAUGCACAAACACACACAUAUACAUAUAUAUGUAUAACAUACAUAUACAUAAGCACACACAAAACUCACAUUAAUAGUCCUCAAAUUCCCCAAUAAGAGAAUGGGUUGAAUUACAUAUGGUAAAGCAUUUUUCAUAUAAAUUAAAUGCAGUGCCUGUAACUCCAUGAAAUACAAAGAACAAAACCCUGCCUUGAAUAUCUACCUGAUAGAUGGAUAUUCUUCUUCCCUCUCUUGUUCAAUCUUUAAUAUAGGGGAAUGAUCUGAGGAAUAGAGAGACUUGCUCUAUUCCUGGAGCCCUCUGAUGUUCUGCUAAGGAUGACAGAUAAGUUUUGAUAAUAUUGGAAGAAAUGGGAGAAAAUGAAUACUGCACACUCAUUUUGCAUUUAACCAAGAGUCAGGAAAAAGAUGAAAUUGGAGCAAGAGUCACUAAUGGGAAGUUGACAUCUAACAUGGUUAUAUCCAGU
rnacentral:lncRNA from 1 species